rnacentral:rRNA from 1 species
CCUACGGGGGGCAGCACUUAGGAAUAUUACACAAUGGGGGCAACCCUGAUGUAGCGACACAGCGUGGAGGAAGAAGGUUCUCGGAUCGUAAACUCCUUUUAUAUGGGACGAAUAGAUGACGGUACCAUAUGAAUAAGUACCUGCUAACUACGUGCCAGAAGCAUCGGUGAUGCGGAGGGUACAAACGUUAUCCGGAUUUAUUGGGCGUAAAGAGAAGCGUAGGCGUUUUUGUAAGUCUUGAGUUAAAGACCACGGCUCAACCGUGGAAGAGCUGUCGAUACUGCAAGAAUUGAGACAGGAAUGGGCGAAUGGAAUUCCGAGUGUAGCGGUGAAAUGCGUUGAUAUUCGGAGGAACAUCAGUGGCGAAGGCGAUUCGCUGGUCCUUGUCUGACGCUAAGGCUCGAAAGCGUGGGUAGCAAAAC